rnacentral:rRNA from 1 species
GUACCCCGAGGAAAAGAAAUCAACCGAGAUUCCCCCAGUAGCGGCGAGCGAACGGGGAGCAGCCCAGAGCCUGAAUCAGUGUGUGUGUUAGUGGAAGCGUCUGGAAAGGCGUGCGAUACAGGGUGACAGCCCCGUACACAAAAAUGCACAUAUUGUGAGCUCGAUGAGUAGGACGGGACACGUGGUAUCCUGUCUGAAUAUGGGGGGACCAUCCUCCAAGGCUAAAUACUCCUGACUGACCGAUAGUGAACCAGUACCGUGAGGGAAAGGCGAAAAGAACCCCG